rnacentral:rRNA from 1 species
GGAGAGUUUGAUCCUGGCUCAGGAUGAACGCUAGCGGCAGGCCUAAUACAUGCAAGUCGAGGGGUAACAGGUGUAGCAAUACAUGCUGACGACCGGCGCACGGGUGCGUAACACGUAUAUAAUCUACCUAUAACUGGGGAAUAGCCCGAAGAAAUUCGGAUUAAUGCCCCAUAACAUUGCGAGAUGGCAUCAUCUUGCAAUUAAAGCUCCGGCGGUUAUGGAUGAGUAUGCGUCCGAUUAGCUAGUUGGUGAGGUAACGGCUCACCAAGGCGACGAUCGGUAGGGGUACUGAGAGGUUACACCCCCACACUGGUACUGAGACACGGACCAGACUCCUACGGGAGGCAGCAGUAAGGAAUAUUGGACAAUGGUCGCAAGACUGAUCCAGCCAUGCCGCGUGCAGGAUGACUGCCCGAUGGGUUGUAAACUGCUUUUGUAUGGGAAUAAACCCUUCUACGUGUAGAAGGCUGAAUGUACCAUAAGAAUAAGGGUCGGCUAACUUCGUGCCAGCAGCCGCGGUAAGACGAAGGACCCGAGCGUUAUCCGGAUUCAUUGGGUUUAAAGGGUGCGUAGGCGGAUUGAUAAGUCAGUGGUGAAAGCCUGUUGCUUAACAACAGAACUGCCAUUGAUACUGUUGAUCUUGAAUAUGUUUGAUGUGGGCCGAAUAUGACAUGUAGCGGUGAAAUGCUUAGAUAUGUCAUAGAACACCGAUUGCGAAGGCAGCUCACAAAACCAUUAUUGACGCUGAGGCACGAAAGCGUGGGGAUCAAACAGGAUUAGAUACCCUGGUAGUCCACGCUGUAAACUUUGAUCACUCGCUGUUGGCGAUACACUGUCAGCGGCUAAGCGAAAGCGUUAAGUGAUCCACCUGGGGAGUACGAUCGCAAGAUUGAAACUCAAAGGAAUUGACGGGGGCCCGCACAAGCGGUGGAGCAUGUGGUUUAAUUCGAUGAUACGCGAGGAACCUUACCAGGGCUUGAAAGUUAGCGACUAUAGGUGAAAGCUUAUAUCCCUUCGGGGCGCGAAACUAGGUGCUGCAUGGCUGUCGUCAGCUCGUGCCGUGAGGUGUUGGGUUAAGUCCCGCAACGAGCGCAACCCCUACCAUUAGUUGCCAGCAGGUUAAGCUGGGGACUCUAAUGGAACUGCCCGCGCAAGCGGUGAGGAAGGUGGGGAUGACGUCAAGUCAUCACGGCCCUUACGUCCUGGGCUACACACGUGCUACAAUGGCCAGUACAACGGGUUGCUACACAGCGAUGUGAUGCUAAUCUCUAAAGCUGGUCUCAGUUCGGAUUGAAGUCUGCAACUCGACUUCAUGAAGCUGGAAACGCUAGUAAUCGCGUAUCAGCAAUGACGCGGUGAAUACGUUCCCGGGCCUUGUACACACCGCCCGUCAAGCCAUGGAAAUCGGGAGUGCCUAAAGUCGAUUGCCGCAAGGCGUCGCCUAAGGUAAAACCGGUAACUGGGGCUAAGUCGUAACAAGGUAGCCGUACCGGAAGGUGCGGCUG